AUGCAUAAAGGAAAAUUUGAGACUCUCCAAGAGCGUUUGAGGAAAAUUCUUGUGGAUUGGAGUGAGCAGUACAUGUCGUCGGGGAACAAGGAGAUACUUAUUAAAUCAGUAGCACAUGCCAUACCAACAUAUGCUAUGAGUGUUUUCAAACUCCCGGCUUCGGUCUGUGAUGAUCUAACAAGGAUGAUACGCCAGUAUUGGUGGGGGGUAGAGAACGGAAAGAAGAAGAUGGCCUGGAUGAGUUGGGAUAAACUGCGUUUGCCAAAAACCAUGGGUGGCAUGGGUUUUAGGAAUAUGAGGGCGUUUAACCAGGCGCUGCUAGCUAAACAGGCUUGGAGGCUCCUGGAUAGGCCGGAUAGCCUAUGUGUGCGGCUGCUGAAGGCAAAAUACUAUCCUUCUGGUCAACUUUUGGAUACGGUGUUCCCGGGCUCCGGGUCUGAGGUGUGGAAGGGAAUCCUGCAUGGCCUUGAGUUGGUC
rnacentral:rRNA from 1 species